AGCCCGACACCCCUCGGAGAGUCCUCCAAGGUGCCUGAGUUGCACCCCGCUGUCGCUCUGUCCCCUCCAACUAGGUGCAGGGACCUGGGGAGGCGCGCGAGGACCGACUGGUCACCGCUAAAAUUACCUCAUCGCCUCAGCUCCCCGCCCCUUUCCCAAACCUGGAAGAACUGUCCCCUGCGGCCCGGGUCUCCCCUCCCGCCCUCCGCCCCCCGCCCCACCCCGAUCGCAAGCGAGUCUUUGGGAAGCGCGCCCGCCUCCCCCGGGGCCGCCCAGCCCGGCGGCGCGCAGCGAAGGGUUAAGGGCGCGGGCCGGCUGCUGCGCCGUGCGCUCGCGGUGCUCCGAGCCGCUCGCCCCGCCGCCCGCCAGAGGGUGCCCCCCCGCCCCCAAGUCGGAUCCUUGAGCUGCGACGGCGGCAGCCAACUGCUCCAUAUUUGGCUUCUAUUACACAUUUACAUACUGGAGCGAGCGAGCGAGCGAGAGAGCGCGAGAGAGCGCGAGGGAGGGAGGGAGGGAGCGAGGGAGGGCGGGCGGAGGGAGGAGGGAGGGGAGGGGAGCGGGGGGAGGAGGAGGAGGAGAGAGCAGAGUAUACCGCAGACAUCAUUUCUACUACAGUGGCGGAGCCGUACAGGACCUGUUUCACUGCAGGGGGAUCCAAAACAAGCCCCGUGGAGCAGCCGCCAGAGCUACAGCAGCCGCAAGACACUGUUUCUCUCCCUCUGCCCCCCCUUCCCCACGCAACCCCAGAUCCAUUUACACUUUACAGAGCAUCGUGCAGCAAGUCACCAGGGUGGUCCCUUCAAGCUGCAGAUUUGUGUGUCAUCCUUGUACCACAGUCUCCUCCUCUACGGCCACUACAGGGAAGUCCAUCACAUAUCAGGAUACUGGAGCAAAAUGAAAGAGUUGAUUUUGAGGCCUCAGAAGUAG
rnacentral:lncRNA from 1 species